GCUUUUGUAGCACAGCGGUAGUGCAAUCGCUUCGUAAGCGAUAGGUCGUCGGUUCAAAUCCGACCAAAAGCUCCA
rnacentral:tRNA from 1 species